GACAGAGGAGCCAAGCGUUGUCCGGAUUGACUGGGCGUAAAGCGCACGCAGGCGGCCGUGCACGUGGGGUGUGAAAGCUGGCGGCUUAACUGCCAGAUGCCACCUCAUACGGCACGGCUCGAGCCCGUGAGAGGUCCACGGAAUUGCCGGUGUAGUGGUGAAAUGCGUAGAGAUCGGCAGGAACACCCAGGGGGAAACCAGUGGACUGGCACGGUGCUGACGCUCAGGUGCGAAAGCGUGGGGAGCGAACCGG
rnacentral:rRNA from 1 species